AAAUUGAAGAGUUUGAUCAUGGCUCAGAUUGAACGCUGGCGGCAGGCCUAACACAUGCAAGUCGAACGGUAACAGGAAGAAGCUUGCUUCUUUGCUGACGAGUGGCGGACGGGUGAGUAAUGUCUGGGAAACUGCCUGAUGGAGGGGGAUAACUACUGGAAACGGUAGCUAAUACCGCAUAACGUCGCAAGACCAAAGAGGGGGACCUUCGGGCCUCUUGCCAUCGGAUGUGCCCAGAUGGGAUUAGCUAGUAGGUGGGGUAACGGCUCACCUAGGCGACGAUCCCUAGCUGGUCUGAGAGGAUGACCAGCCACACUGGAACUGAGACACGGUCCAGACUCCUACGGGAGGCAGCAGUGGGGAAUAUUGCACAAUGGGCGCAAGCCUGAUGCAGCCAUGCCGCGUGUAUGAAGAAGGCCUUCGGGUUGUAAAGUACUUUCAGCGGGGAGGAAGGGAGUAAAGUUAAUACCUUUGCUCAUUGACGUUACCCGCAGAAGAAGCACCGGCUAACUCCGUGCCAGCAGCCGCGGUAAUACGGAGGGUGCAAGCGUUAAUCGGAAUUACUGGGCGUAAAGCGCACGCAGGCGGUUUGUUAAGUCAGAUGUGAAAUCCCCGGGCUCAACCUGGGAACUGCAUCUGAUACUGGCAAGCUUGAGUCUCGUAGAGGGGGGUAGAAUUCCAGGUGUAGCGGUGAAAUGCGUAGAGAUCUGGAGGAAUACCGGUGGCGAAGGCGGCCCCCUGGACGAAGACUGACGCUCAGGUGCGAAAGCGUGGGGAGCAAACAGGAUUAGAUACCCCGGUAGUCCACGCCGUAAACGAUGUCGACUUGGAGGUUGUGCCCUUGAGGCGUGGCUUCCGGAGCUAACGCGUUAAGUCGACCGCCUGGGGAGUACGGCCGCAAGGUUAAAACUCAAAUGAAUUGACGGGGGCCCGCACAAGCGGUGGAGCAUGUGGUUUAAUUCGAUGCAACGCGAAGAACCUUACCUGGUCUUGACAUCCACAGAACUUUCCAGAGAUGGAUUGGUGCCUUCGGGAACUGUGAGACAGGUGCUGCAUGGCUGUCGUCAGCUCGUGUUGUGAAAUGUUGGGUUAAGUCCCGCAACGAGCGCAACCCUUAUCCUUUGUUGCCAGCGGUCCGGCCGGGAACUCAAAGGAGACUGCCAGUGAUAAACUGGAGGAAGGUGGGGAUGACGUCAAGUCAUCAUGGCCCUUACGACCAGGGCUACACACGUGCUACAAUGGCGCAUACAAAGAGAAGCGACCUCGCGAGAGCAAGCGGACCUCAUAAAGUGCGUCGUAGUCCGGAUUGGAGUCUGCAACUCGACUCCAUGAAGUCGGAAUCGCUAGUAAUCGUGGAUCAGAAUGCCACGGUGAAUACGUUCCCGGGCCUUGUACACACCGCCCGUCACACCAUGGGAGUGAGUUGCAAAAGAAGUAGGUAGCUUAACCUUCGGGAGGGCGCUUACCACUUUGUGAUUCAUGACUGGGGUGAAGUCGUAACAAGGUAACCGUAGGGGAACCUGCGGUUGGAUCACCUCCUUA
rnacentral:rRNA from 1 species